AGAGUUUGAUCCUGGCUCAGGAUGAACGCUGGCGGCGUGCCUAAUACAUGCAAGUCGAACGAAUCUUCUUCGGAAGAUGAGUGGCGAACGGGUGAGUAAUACAUAGGUAACCUGCCCCUGUGCGGGGGAUAACAGGAGGAAACUCCUGCUAAUACCGCAUAGCCAUGAGCACCGCAUGGAGCUCAUGCCAAAUAUCCUUUCGGGGAUAGCGCAGGGAUGGACCUAUGGCGCAUUAGCUAGUUGGCGGGGCAACGGCCCACCAAGGCAACGAUGCGUAGCCGGCCUGAGAGGGCGGACGGCCACAUUGGGACUGAGACACGGCCCAGACUCCUACGGGAGGCAGCAGUAGGGAAUUUUCGGCAAUGGGGGAAACCCUGACCGAGCAACGCCGCGUGAGCGAAGAAGGCCUUCGGGUCGUAAAGCUCUGUUGUAAAGGAAGAACGGCGCAUACAGGAAAUGGUAUGCGAGUGACGGUACUUUACCAGAAAGCCACGGCUAACUACGUGCCAGCAGCCGCGGUAAUACGUAGGUGGCGAGCGUUAUCCGGAAUCAUUGGGCGUAAAGAGGGAGCAGGCGGCCGCAAGGGUCUGUGGUGAAAGACCGAAGCUAAACUUCGGUAAGCCAUGGAAACCGGGCGGCUAGAGUGCGGAAGAGGAUCGUGGAAUUCCAUGUGUAGCGGUGAAAUGCGUAGAUAUAUGGAGGAACACCAGUGGCGAAGGCGACGGUCUGGGCCGCAACUGACGCUCAUUCCCGAAAGCGUGGGGAGCAAAUAGGAUUAGAUACCCUAGUAGUCCACGCCGUAAACGAUGGUCACUAAGUGUCGGGGGUCCAACUCCCGGGGCUGCGGUCCACGCAAUAAG
rnacentral:rRNA from 1 species